UCUUCCAACACCUGAGUCUGGCGCUCCCGCAUUUCUUUUUUACUUCUUUCUCUCUCUCUCUCUCUCCGCGCAUCUGCACACUUCAGCAUCAUCCGACCGUUUUCGUCCUGAACGUCCCGAAUUAUAAAAACUGCACAUGUUAACCAUAGCAAAGUUUCAGCGUUUGGUGCCAAGUACAGUGCAAAUGCAAUACGGUGCAUCAUUCCGCCACAAAACCCUAAAUUCGAGAGACGGAGUUAAAUUGUGUCAAAAUAAAUCGCUUAACUUCGUAAUCGGGCUUACUGUCAAGCAUUGUCAAGUGCUGUCGUGUAGCAGUACCUACUCUGUAGAUUGUCUAACCAGUUUUGUUAUCGGGCUUCUCAAUCGACGUGUGCAGACUAUCUCAUCAUUCCGUCACAAAAUGGAGUUGGCAAAUUGAGAGGGAGUCCAGGAAAAAAUUAACAGAGAUGUUUUUGCUUUUAAGGAAUUAUCGCAUUUCUUUCAUAAUUAUAGAUAUAGAACAUAUAUAAAUAUCAUUUCGAU
rnacentral:lncRNA from 1 species